GGCCGCGUGGCCUAAUGGACUAAGGCGUCUGACUUCGAAUCAGAAGAUUGCGAGUUCGAGGUCUCGUCGUGGUCG